AAGAAAAAGAACUAGAUAUGAUCGACAGGGAUCCAAACGCACUUAAUGCUCACGUCAAGGUAGCAUUUGAGGACGUUUUGGCUGAGCCAGAUGGCGCCCACAGCAUAGACUGUGUCUGGAAAGCCAGCUUCUUUUGCUUCAACUGCGGCAAGAACUGCUGUUACAAACUGAUGACCACACUGUGUGGGAUUUUCAUCGCUCUGUCCUGGGGCUGUGAGUUUGCCUUCAUCACCUUUGAUCAAGUCUGGUGUAUCACUCCUUCGCUAAGGAUCUUUAGCAUCUAUAUGGGAUGUUGCCAAAAGUACUUUGGCACGAUGGUAACGUGCUGUUUAGCGCCAAUCUGUGAAACAUGUGGUCUCAUGUUCAGCAGAAUAACUGUGUCAAAUAAAUGAUUGUUAUCAUGUUUUUAUGGAUUAAAAUGUGAUAUUCGCCUCAAUUCUGUGAUAGACUUUUUUCGAUAAAAAACAAACUUAUUGUCAAAAUUGUUUUGUUUAAUCAAUCUAUUACAUUUAAAAAAAAUAUCAUUUGUAGAAAAGUAUUUGAUAUGUACAAAGAUUUAUCUCGCUUUGUUAAUGCUUAUCAUAAUGGACCAAUAUAUGCAUUAAAAAAUGUUAGAGGAUUA